UUUUAAGAUGGACUUAAACAUUCUUCAUCACUACUAUUUUUAUUAAAAUUUCUAGAAAUAAUCAAGUGAGAAUGCAUUUAAUAAGAACAUGAGAUUUUGCCUAACAUAGAAUUCCCUCCAGCUUUGAUAUAGAAAAGCAGUUAUAUAAUUAAGAUAUAUAUAAUGUGAAUUGUUUAUGUUGGCAAAACUAAUGGCACAAAGAAAAAUUUCAAACCCUUAAGCCAAUUUUUUUAUUUUAUUUCAGGUGCUAUUCAAGCACAUAAUGGUAGUCUUCAGCACCUUACUUGGCUUGGCUUACAGUGGAAUUCAUUGCCUGCUUUACCUGGAAUCCGAAAAUGGCUAAAACAGCUUUUCCAUCAUUUGCCCCAGGAAACCUCAAGGCUUGAAACAAAUGCACCUGAAUCAAUAUGUAUUUUAGAUCUUGAAGUAUUUCUCCUUGGAGUAGUAUAUACCAGCCACUUACAAUUAAAGGAGAAAUGUAAUUCUCACCACAGCUCCUAUCAGCCGUUAUGCCUGCCCCUUCCUGUGUGUAAACAGCUUUGUACAGAGAGACAAAAAUCUUGGUGGGAUGCGGUUUGUACUCUGAUUCACAGAAAAGCAGUUAAAUUGAACUAUUUUUUAGACCUGGAAACUCAGCAGAAUUGAGACUUGUAGUUCAGCAUGAAAUAAACACUCUAAGAGCCCAGGAAAAACAUGGCCUUCAACCUGCUCUGCUUGUACAUUGGGCAAAAUGCCUUCAGAAAAUGGUGA
rnacentral:lncRNA from 1 species